GCACAAUGGGCGCAAGCCUGAUGCAGCCAUGCCGCGUGUAUGAAGAAGGCCUUCGGGUUGUAAAGUACUUUCAGCAGUGAGGAAGGUUCAUGCGUUAAUAGCGUAUGGAUUUGACGUUAGCUGCAGAAGAAGCACCGGCUAACUCCGUGCCAGCAGCCGCGGUAAUACGGAGGGUGCGAGCGUUAAUCGGAAUUACUGGGCGUAAAGCGCAUGCAGGUGGUUUGUUAAGUCAGAUGUGAAAGCCCGGGGCUCAACCUCGGAAUUGCAUUUGAAACUGGCAGACUAGAGUACUGUAGAGGGGGUAGAAUUUCAGGUGUAGCGGUGAAAAUGCGUAGAGAUCUGAAGGAAUACCGGUGGCGAAGGCGGCCCCCUGGACAGAUACUGACACUCAGAUGCGAAAGCGUGGGGAGCAAACAGGAUUAGAUACCCUGGUAG
rnacentral:rRNA from 1 species